AUGUUCUCGAAGACAGUCACAUGUGCAUACAUGCAGGACAAAUUCAGUUCUGCCAUUUACUACCUUUUAGCCACUUCACUUGUAUGUUCUCUUCACUGUACUCUUUUCAUUAGAAUUUCUGUGCUUGUGUGUUUUUCUUGCCUAAAUUUUUAUUCAAGCAGACUCUACCCCCUUCACAGUGUAACUGAUGAGGAUAGGCUUCUAUCCUGUACGUGGACCAGCAUUCAUGGAACACUGAAACCUACCAGCCAAGAUGUUCUCAGACAGCAGAGCAACRAUGCUGACUUGUGUGAUUAUCACCAACUGAGGUAAUAUUUUUUGGCUCAAGAACUUUGAAUGCUAAGGAAAGUGCAAUUUCCGAAUGACACUGAGGAAAUCCUCCUUUUAGGAAAAACUGUGUGUGGGAACUUYCCUGAAAGCAUCCUCAGGUAUGUAAAUGCUACUUUAUGGGAUCUGCUAUAGAUCUGAUAGUACAGAUAUUUCUUACACAGAUUUACUUGCAUUAAUAGGAUUUUUCCACUAACAAGAUUACUGUGCUGCAUUUUUGUUGUCUCUUAAGUUGGGUCUGUCACGGAUACUGAUGUUUUGAGAUACUCUGCCUUUAUGGUGUUAUCCRUCUGUGUUAACGACGCUUAUGCAAGCACUACUGUGGACCCCAGAACCUUCAGUAUAUACGACAGCAUAUUGUUAAGCCGUGUCAGAUUUGAUACUCGGUGGUGGUGGUAGCUGGAGGAGGCUUGUAUCUGUGUGGGCUUCCUUCCACUGGAAGCACUGGCUUCUACCGGAAUGGCUAUGAAGGRAUGUUUUAUGAGAUGUCUCUAGUUCAGGCACGGUUUGGUUUUAAGCUUUCCCAUGACAUUCCUGACUAAUYGCACCUAAAAUGGUGUUUUAGUUCAGGAGCUGAAUGACAGGCAAGUCAGAUGUCCAUACAUCCAGAGCAGAGUGGACACCUGAGAUGUGGGACCUCACUGAUCAUUACAGUCCAUCAGAGAGAUACUGUUAGGGCCCUGAUCUCAGUGUUUGCAGUCAUUUAGCUGGCAUCAUUCCUGUUCACUGUUUAGCACCAGAACUUGGGUGCUGUUGGAAAAAGAAUUUUUGUAUCUGUAUAAUUUAUUCUUCUAGUGGAUUGAGCUUGAGUUGAUUGCUAAAUACUCAUGUUAGGCAAACCAGGAAAUCCACAUCAAGUACCACUUAACAUAUUUGCAUUUGUGAAAGGCAGGCUAUACAGUAAUUAAACACAUGUGCAAUAGCAGAAUAAUUCUUUGGCUUUUUCAAUGAGAAGUCUCCAAAUGAAAAUGACAGAAGUGUCACUUGGGGAUGCACUGCUAAAUACAUUUCCUGCUAGCAGCUGAUCUAUGCUAGAACAGUUGCUGGUACUUGUGAGGUACAAUGUUUAUAGAUAAAAUUAGUUCCAAAAUACGCAAUCAAAUAUACCAAACAAUAUUCAUGACCUGGUUGCAUAUAAUGUGCUCUGUAUUAACUGAAUUUUUUUCCUCAGAGUUCUUGAUUUGAUUUGGGCAUUUCCAAUAUGUGUAGAAAGGAAGUAUAAGAACCACAUAAAGAAUAAACUUCACUGUAGUAGUUUAGAAAAUUAUAUU
ensembl:lncRNA